AUGGGUAUACAGCGCUGUUGUUGUGGCCUCUGCAGAUCUCUUUCUUGUCACUUCAUCACUGAAGCAACAAGCAGGUGCGCCGUCCUCUCUCAUUUUCUCUGCGCUCCUUGUCUCGCUUCGACUUUGCAUUCCCUUGCGCACCAGGACGCCAACUUUUACCAUCUUUCUUUAAACACGGUCUCUCUAUCGUUUUUUUUUUGCUUCGUUCUUCUUUGACUGAAGCAAAGAAGCUUCUCUAACUCUUUCUCUAUCGCUGACGCUCCGUGUAUCCACUGCUGAUCCGUCGAUCCCGCACCUUUUCCUCCAGGCGUGUGUGCGCACCAGCCUUUUUACGGUGGCUUUUUUGUUUCAAUUUUUUUUUUCUCUCAUCUCCUCCGGCGCGCGUCUGCCUGUGUGCGUGUGUGUGUGCGGUGCUUAUACAGGUUUCACUUGCACACCCCGUGUGUACCCCAGCAGACCUCCUUUGGUAUCGAGGCGCACGCACGGAAGCAGCAGGGUAAAGGGGAAUAGACGUGCAACUACGACAUCGUUUGCUUUCCGCUCCUCUCCCUCAGCGUGACUCGAUCGGAACUCCAUCCGGUCGUUGGUGGCCCUGCGUUGAAUCUUUCUUGUCCGUCUCCGGCUCCGGUUUAGGUACCCGGCUCGCAUUGGUAUGCUUUUUGUUCUAAUCCUCCCAUUUUCUUUUCUUUCGGUUAGCGCGCGUGUGCGAGUGUCUUACGCCAGAGUGCAGCUGUCGUGCUCGUACUGGGGACGCCCUUGUCCCAUUUUUUCCAUAUCGCUGCUCUGCCUUUAAUUGCAGUGGCGUUGGCUUACAAUAAGUGCACAAGCACGCACGCAAAGGACGUGUCACUCACCAUGGCGGCAACUCAUCUUACCUUUGAUGAUGCGAAGGUGGGCAUGCGCGUCCAGGAUUACUGGGGCUGCUGCGGCACGCUACGUUGGAUGGGGAAGCUCGAGAAGGACAAUUCGCCUAACAAGGAAACAGGCAAGUUCUUCGGUAUCGAGUACGACGACGAGAGUGACAAUCCGCUGCGCAGCAAUGGCACGUGGAACGGCCGCAAGUACUUUGAGUGCGGGCCGCGUAAGGGCCGUCUUGUGAAGGUAGGCCAAGUUUACGCCGAGAUCAACACCGAGCGGGUGGCGAUGCUACGGGAGCGCUUUGGGGAGCGCGUCGCGACGUGGCACGACUUUGAGCUGGUGAAGUUCUGCAUUGCGCGACAGUUCGAUAUGGAAAAGGUCUAUGAGAUGCUGGAGAGGCACCUGCAGUGGCGCGGGAGAUUCCAGCCGUGCGCCGACGAGUACUUCCCUCAGACGAUUCGUGAGGAUUACCCGUGCGGCUACACAGGCACUACCGAUUACGACGAGAACCUCAUUUACUGCGAACGCCCCGGCAAUGCUGGCCACUGCCAACCGUCCGAGUUUGUGCGCAAGUACACGCUACCGGUAAUUGCGCGGUGGCACGCGUGCGCUAUCGAGAUGGGCAUUGCGCGCAUGCGCGCCACGAACUACCGCUCCAAGCGAGUGUGCUGCAUUGUGGAUCUGUUGAACGUAAAAGCCAUGUCGCGUUCGAUGAUCGGCUUUGCGCAGACGCUGGCGACGGUGGAGCAGGACAACUACCCUGAGAACCUAGGGUGCGUCUUUAUAGUGAACUGCCCCAUGUUUUUCUGCUUUGCCUGGAAGCUGCUGAAGAUCUUCAUCGACGAACGCACCAAUAAAAAGAUUAAUUUCUGCGCUCCAAACAAGGCGGUGGAAGCGAUGCUGCCGGUGAUGCGGAAGGAGGACAUACCGAACUUCUGCGGCGGGACCAGCAACAAGUGGAUGGAAACGGCCAACGGCAUCAUCGGCUCGACAAACCCGAAAAAGGUCUACAGGGGCGAGGACUACAGCCCGCCCAGCAUGAAGAGCGAAGAGCUGAAUGAGACGCAGUCGCGAGCCGAUAGUGAGAGCCCCCACAGGAGCCUCCGCGAAGGUGAGGCACCGACGACCACGCGCUUCAUCGCGCCCGACGCGGUGUCCUUGAGCUUCACGCCCACCAGUAGCUCCAAAUCGCCUGAGGAGCCCAAGAUGACGUCUGAGGCGCAGAGCAGCAGCGACACGGCAAGCGGCAAGAAGCGAAAGAACGGUUUGCCGAAGUGAGCUACGGAUGCCCGUGUGCUGGAGGCCUUCGUGGGAAUAUCUGCAUGAGCACACCCCGAUGAAGGGGGGACACUGUGCGCAUCUUUGUGCUUGCUGCGGGCCGUCGUGCAUCUCUCUCGAAAAAGUAGCGGUUGGAGCUGAAUGUGGGAAAGAUGCGCUGCAGCAGGGACACUGUAAGGGAUGGAGAUGGACGUGCGCGUUGCCAAGGUCGUGGAGCUACGGUGUGAAUGUGUGGGUGUUGUGUGCCAUCUCCUCAUGCGCCUCUGCUCUCGCCGCUCGCUCGCAGGUGAUAGUGGCAGAGCCGCCAACGCGGCAGGUGACCAAGGCACAAGCUCUUGCACCCGUGAUGAUGUGUGUCUUUGCCUCUUUGCUCUGCCUCGCCUUGCUUUCUCUCUUUUCCGUCGUUCGAGGACUUCGCUGUCAGCGGCCACCGAGGCACAAAUGGUACAAUGACCUAAAGUGACCCGUCUCUGUCCAUGAGUGCCCCUUGUUCCCCGUGUCUUUGCCGCGUUGCCAGUGCCUCACCAACCUACUCUCUCCCCUCUCUCCGUUUUCUAUUCCUCUUCUGCGCUCUCUGUGAGCCACCCCUUUACUCCCCUCUCCCAGUGUGCCUACCGCCGCCGUCGCUGCGCGUUCCUUCUGGCCUUCUCUCGCCUCUUUCUACGAUUUUUCUUUCGUGUUUUUUUUUGUACACCUCUGCGAAUUGCCUAUCACCCUUCUUACUCUCUCUGACUCUCUGUGUUUCUUUUUUUUGUCUCUGUGUGUGCUCGCCUUUCUCUCAGCAUUCCUACUUGCGCAUCUACUCGUUGUUGUGAUUGUGACGCUUUCCCUGCGCCGUUUUUUGUUUGUGCUGUGCUACUCUAUAUGUAUUAAUCGAUGAUGAGACUCAUCGGUGUGCGGGUGGCGUCAUCUUCGACUGCACCUGUUGUCACUUAUGCACGCAGUACCAGCGGCGCGACAGUCGUGGAGUGCGUGAUGGACUCCUUUUCCCUUUUUGGCUUUGCAUUGCGAUCUUGAUUUGCACUUCGGUUCCUUUUUCAUUUUUCUUCUAGGCGCCCAGUGCCCUUGCUUCUCGAGCUCUCUGCUGGUCGUGCCGCUUAUCGCGCAGUCUUCCCCGGUUCUUCUUUCUCUUUCCAAACGUUCCCUCAUAGCUUCUCCUCUUAAGUGCUGACAAGAGACCUCUGAGUUUGUUUCACGCCUGCUUUGCUUCCUUCUUCGUCACACUCGUCCUAGUUCGUGUCUGUGCCGGUGUGCGCGUUCCCACGUUUUCGUAAAGCUUGUGUGGCAUUCUAACUCGAUCGAAGUAGUGGGGCAGCAGUGCUGCCUUCGAUAGUGCGCCUGCGGCAGCGAUGCAGCAGUGUGUGCCACAGUCCAGCGACUGAGGCAGCACACAGUGAACAUGUGAGUGUGCAAGAGCUGUACCGCGUCGCGUGGCUAAAAGGGUGUGGUGGAUUGGGGGCUAUGCAGAAGGAAUAUGGAUGAAGAUGUGUGCCGACGCUUCGCUCCCACUACGUGUUCAUUCGUUGUCUCGACCUCCCCUUUUCUUGCGCGGUUUUUCUUUUUGCCACUCCCCACGUCCUUUCUCGCACACCCAUCCUCUCUCGUUCUCUCUUCGCGUUCUUUUUAGUCUCCCGCGGGCACGCAUUGGUGCCUGUGUGCCGCGUGUGCGCUUCUUCCAAGACGGAGAUGGUGCUGAUAUCUUCCAACACGUACGGCAACGACAACAGGAAACAAUGGUAGAAGAAACACCGCCACCAAAAACAAAAAAAAAGCACAAAGAACCUAACACCACAUAAAGGCGUACACAUGUGACGGGAAAAAAGCAACGAAACCUGCACACCGGAGAUGGCAUCGCGCCACAGUAUCCGGUACGAAGGUUGCCAAGGGGGAAUGGCUGAAGAGGACACAAGUACUUGCCCAACUCUUAACUCUCUCUCACGUGCGCCAUGUGACUGAUAGGAUCACCGGAGGAAAGGGAAAAGUUGCGUCGGUAGGUG
rnacentral:misc_RNA from 1 species